AUUGAACGCUGGCGGCAGGCCUAACACAUGCAAGUCGAGCGGAUGAAGGGAGCUUGCUCCUGGAUUCAGCGGCGGACGGGUGAGUAAUGCCUAGGAAUCUGCCUGGUAGUGGGGGAUAACGUCCGGAAACGGGCGCUAAUACCGCAUACGUCCUGAGGGAGAAAGUGGGGGAUCUUCGGACCUCACGCUAUCAGAUGAGCCUAGGUCGGAUUAGCUAGUUGGUGGGGUAAAGGCCUACCAAGGCGACGAUCCGUAACUGGUCUGAGAGGAUGAUCAGUCACACUGGAACUGAGACACGGUCCAGCCUCCUACGGAGGCAGCAGUGGGGAAUAUUGGACAAUGGGCGAAAGCCUGAUCCAGCCAUGCCGCGUGUGUGAAGAAGGUCUUCGGAUUGUAAAGCACUUUAAGUUGGGAGGAAGGGCAGUAAGUUAAUACCUUGCUGUUUUGACGUUACCAACAGAAUAAGCACCGGCUAACUUCGUG
rnacentral:rRNA from 1 species